UAUAAAGAUGAUCUUCUCCAUUAUUAACCAUUCAAGUAGCAUUCAGCGGGAGUCGGGAGAUAGCUCUUAUAUUCUUUUUAACUAAAACAACAAGUGCAUGAAGUUACUGUGAGAUGAAAACCAAUGAUGAACAGCUUCCACUUCUUCACGAUAUCCUAAUCCCACACAAAACCUCAUUACCUAAACAACCUUAUAGACUUCUGAAUCAGACC
rnacentral:lncRNA from 1 species